GGUCAAGAUCUAUCUGCCCUUAAAUUUUCAGAUGAAUCGGACAACCCGUUGUUUGGUUGCUGGCCCUAAAUUGGUAAGUUUAAGGAAAUUUUGCUGUUUUUGGUUAUUAUCUUGAAUACUAUUAUAGAUAGAGAUAACCUGUAAACAGCAAUAAUGUUCAGAAAAGUAAGAUUUACAAAUAAGUCAACAUGACUGAAAUGGUCAAUUGACCCCCUAAGGAGUGAUUGUCCUUUAUAGUCAAUUUUUAACAAUUUUUAUAAAAUUUGUAAAUUUUUACUAACAUUUUCCACUGAAACUAUUGGGC
rnacentral:lncRNA from 1 species